GACGAACGCUGGCGGCAGGCUUAACACAUGCAAGUCGAGCGCCCCGCAAGGGGAGCGGCAGACGGGUGAGUAACGCGUGGGAAUCUACCCAUCUCUACGGAAUAACGCGUGGAAACGUGUGCUAAUACCGUAUACGUCCUUCGGGAGAAAGAUUUAUCGGAGAUGGAUGAGCCCGCGUUGGAUUAGCUAGUUGGUGGGGUAAAGGCCUACCAAGGCGACGAUCCAUAGCUGGUCGGAGAGGAUGAUCAGCCACACUGGAACUGAGACACGGCCCAGCCUCCAAGGGGAGGCAGCAGUGGGGAAUAUUGGACAAUGGGCGCAAGCUUGAUCCAGCCAUGCCGCGUGAGUGAUGAAGGCCCUAGGGUUGAAAAGCUCUUUCACCGGUGAAGAUAAUGACGGUAACCGGAGAAGAAGCCCCGGCUAACUUCGUGCCAGCCGCCGCGGUAACAC
rnacentral:rRNA from 1 species